rnacentral:lncRNA from 1 species
AUUAAGUCCCAUAAGGAACUGAAACACCUUAUUCUCAUUAUCUUCCUGUAUGAUGCCAUUUCUGGCAGGACAAAUGCAUCUUUGUCCAUGGUUUGCACACAUUGUUCCUAAUUCAUCCCACAGUCCUUUAAGUUUGUUAAAAUAUGAAGCUACAUCUAGAGAUCUUUGACAGGUAUGAGAGAGUUCUCUUUUUAGUUCAAAAAUUUUGGUUCUGUUACUGGUAUCAUAUCUAGCUGCGAGCUGUGCCCAUAUGCUCUGUGCAGUAUCAGAAUACUACACACUCUCAGCUAUUUGAGGGGAUAAGGAAGCAGUCAACCAGGAUAUUUAGUGUCUGGUCUGGGACAUGUACCAUCAACAAAGCCAAUUUUAUUUUUGGCAGACAACGCUACAAUCAUUUUCCUUAUCCAACCCCCAUAACCACUACUCGAGAAGGGAGAGGACACAAGAGAAACACCAGGAACAUCAGAGGAGUAAACAAAUAAGGGACUAGUAGGAUCAACAGGAGUCGUAUUAGUACUCAUGUUAGCAGUCGUGAAGAACAAUGAGUUCAAAGUCAAAAUAUAAUCUCUGCAAGUAUUUUGAAAAACUAAAGUUGUAUAAAAAACUUCAUGCAAAUCAUAUAACAUCUAAAAUAGGAACAGAUUUACCCUCCUUCUUCG